UUGAGAAUGAUGGUGAUUAGUUAGGUGACGGAAUUUCCUUAAGCUUGUGGAUGGAUGAAGACAUUCUGCAACAAAGAUUUCGGAUUGUGCCUAAUGCCUAUGAAAUAAAUAUAUCUACUUACAUCUUAAUGAAAGUACACCCUUUCAAUGAAUUUGAGCUCAUUAUUUGAAAUGGAUUCCUAAGAUUAUGAUUAGUUUUCUCAACUAACUGACUAAUAAUAAAUAACGCAUAUACAACAAACCUGUUUAUGGAACGUUCACCCUCUUAUUAUAAAACGCGGUAUCAAAUAAGUAUCGGCUUUUGUACUACCUUUAAUCCACCUUUAAGUACGACCUUGAAAAAACGUUAUUACAAAACGCAGUUUAUCGCAAGUCCUAUUACUAUCUGUAGUACAAAAGAUAAACCAUCGAGCCCCCUAGUUUAACUGCAGUACUUAGUCGACAAACGUCAAAUUCCGACAUUAUUUACUUUUGAGGUUAUUUGUUUUGUGAUGAAAAAAAACGAAAGUGGAUAUAAAUAUGUGUGAUUUGGAAUACUUGGAUGUGUUAGAAUACUAUUGAGAGUGUCCGGGGACUCAACAGAAUGCGUCAUCGACAAAAUCUCUUCAAAUUACCUGACGACAAUUUUCGAUAUAAAUAUCGAUUUACGUUUUUCGAAAUAAUAGUCAAUUGAAUGCAUGAUGAUAAUCCAGGAUGAUCCUAUGAUGCUCAACUGGGCUCGCCAUAAAAUUCAAGACUAUUUUGGCGUUUUGCACGCCGUAUCUCUGCCAGUAAUAUGCAAUGUUUGUAAAAGACUGGAAGCUUGCUAAAAUGUACAAAAAUGCCUAGAUGAGAAAGGGAACAAGAUUGUGUGAUGAAGAACAGUGUCCAACAUGUAUCAGUGCAUUUGACUGUAUAAAUAGACAUCGGAAUAAAAUAUAAUUUUCUACUUU